rnacentral:rRNA from 1 species
AGAGUUUGAUCCUGGCUCAGGAUGAACGCUAGCUGGAGGCUUAAUACAUGCAAGUCGAGCGGGAUUGGUAGCAAUACCAUGAGAGCGGCGCACGGGUGAGUAACGCGUACACGACCUACCUCUGACAGGGGGAUAGCCCUGGGAAACUGGGAUUAAUACCGCAUAUUAUUCUGAUUAAUAAAGGAUUGGAAUGAAAGUUCAGGCGGUCAGAGAUGGGUGUGCGUCUGAUUAGCUAGUUGGUAGGGUAACGGCCUACCAAGGCGAUGAUCAGUAGGGGGCGUGAGAGCGUGAUCCCCCACACGGGUACUGAGACACGGACCCGACUCCUACGGGAGGCAGCAGUAAGGAAUAUUGGACAAUGGCCGCAAGGCUGAUCCAGCCAUCCAGCGUGCAGGAAGAAGGCCCUAUGGGUUGUAAACUGCUUUUAUCAGGGAAUAAACCUCUGGAUUCACUCCGGAGCUGAAGGUACCUGAAGAAUAAGCACCGGCUAACUCCGUGCCAGCAGCCGCGGUAAUAC